UACGUAGGGUGCGAGCGUUGUCCGGAAUUACUGGGCGUAAAGGGCUCGUAGGUGGCCAACUAAGUCAGACGUGAAAUCCCUCGGCUUAACCGGGGAACUGCGUCUGAUACUGGAUGGCUUGAGUUUGGGAGAGGGAUGCGGAAUUCCAGGUGUAGCGGUGAAAUGCGUAGAUAUCUGGAGGAAUACCGGUGGCGAAGGCGGCAUUCUGGACCGACAUUGACGCUGAGGAGCGAAAGCCAGGGGAGCAAACGGG
rnacentral:rRNA from 1 species